UACGAAGGGGGCUAGCGUUGCUCGGAAUGACUGGGCGUAAAGGGCGCGUAGGCGGUUUGACAGUCAGGUGUGAAAUUCCCGGGCUCAACCUGGGGGCUGCACUUGAUACGUAUGGACUGGAGUGGGGAAGAGGGUCGUGGAAUUCCCAGUGUAGAGGUGAAAUUCGUAGAUAGUUGGGAAGAACACCGGUGGCGAAGGCGGCGACCUGGUCCUUGACUGACGCUGAGGCGCGAAGCGUGGGAGCAAACAGG
rnacentral:rRNA from 1 species